UUCUCGUUUCGCUAUCUUCGAUCUUUUUUUCUUCUUUCUUUUAUUUUGUUUUUUUUCUUUUUUUUGUUCACAAGACAGUUGUUUAAGCUACGAACUCCCACAAGCAAGCUCGUAUGUCAAACUUUUCGCCUUUUUGUAGAGCUCUACUACCAUUCUACUACUGUCUACUACUCACUGGCACCUUUCUUCACUAUUAUCAAGAGGCGCUCGUGUGGGGAUCGAUACCAGCGAGGCAUAAGCGCGCCGAGGCCGGAUACAUUUCCGACGCAAGUUACGCAUUUUACCGCAGUUAUCGACCAAAAAAAAAAAAAAAAAACGAACAAACCCAAAAUACCAAAAUAGAAAAUAAAAUUUACCACGAUAAAAGCAGUAUAUAAAUCCUUGUUUAUGCCCGUUUUAAUAAUAAUGACAACGUCGAUAUUCAAGACGGCGUACUCGAUGUAAUUUCACGCGCGUGACCGCACGUGCGUGUGCAAGAGCGGGGAAAAAAAAAAAAAACAAAAACAAAAA